GCCAUUGUACGUUUGCGCGUUCGGCUGUUAACCGAAAGGUUGGUGGUUCAAGCCCACCCAGGGACG
rnacentral:tRNA from 1 species